rnacentral:rRNA from 1 species
CGUGUCGGACAAGGGCGUGUCAUCUUUGAUGUCUUUAACGACCUCUCGGCAACGGAUAUUUCGGCUCUCGCAUCGAUGAAGAACGUAGCGAAAUGCGAUACUUGGUGUGAAUUGCAGAAUCCCGUGAACCAUCGAGUCUUUGAACGCAAGUUGCGCCUGAAGCCAUUCGGCCGAAGGCACGUCUGCCUGGGCAGUCACGUACCCAAUCGCCCCCCAAAGCCUCCCACAUCUCUAGCGAUUUGUGGAGGGCUCGGAGGGCGGAGAUUGGCCUCCCGUGCUGUAACGGCGCGGAUGGCCUAAAAGCAAAGCAUCGAGCGACGAAACGUCACGACAAGUGGUGGUUGAUAAAGCCCUAGCGGCAGCCUCAUCGUGUCGUGUGCGUCCAGUCGCGUUCGAUAGCCCAACGACCCCUACACGUCUCGACGAAUUCUGUCGCGA